rnacentral:rRNA from 1 species
GACGAACGCUGGCGGCGUGCUUAACACAUGCAAGUCGAACGGAAAGGCCCUGCUUUUGUGGGGUGCUCGAGUGGCGAACGGGUGAGUAACACGUGAGUAACCUGCCCUUGACUUUGGGAUAACUUCAGGAAACUGGGGCUAAUACCGGAUAGGAGCUCCUGCUGCAUGGUGGGGGUUGGAAAGUUUCGGCGGUUGGGGAUGGACUCGCGGCUUAUCAGCUUGUUGGUGGGGUAGUGGCUUACCAAGGCUUUGACGGGUAGCCGGCCUGAGAGGGUGACCGGCCACAUUGGGACUGAGAUACGGCCCAGACUCCUACGGGAGGCAGCAGUGGGGAAUAUUGCACAAUGGGCGGAAGCCGGAUGCAGCAACGCCGCGUGCGGGAUGACGGCCUUCGGGUUGUAAACCGCUUUCGCCUGUGACGAAGCGUGAGUGACGGUAAUGGGGAAAGAAACACCGGCUAACUACGU